UUCCGUAGGGUGAACCUGCGGAAGGAUCAUUA
rnacentral:rRNA from 16 species